CACAAGACCAGUGUGGGCAGAAGAGGAAUUCCCCAGCUUAGAUUUCAUUGGCACUGUUUCCACUCCCACGGUGGAGGGAGUGGAGUUCAUUGUUGGCUUCUGAUAAACUUCCUAAUUAAUCCAUCUGAGAUCAGGGGCAGACUAAUAGGAGACUGUGCCUUUCGGUGUUUGCAAGGCAGAAAUGAGUCUUGCCUCUGGGUGGGCUUCUGAUGCCUGCACAGCUGCUUCCUUUACAGCAGGGAUGGGAAGCUGUAUGCAGCCUUCCAGGCCUCUUUAUUCAGCACUCAAGUUUCUCCCCAGGCUACACCCUUCAUUGGUUCUCCUCUGGACCUUCCUUGAGUGCUUGGCCUUGGAUGGAAUGUGCCCUUGAACACUGGUGCCCAUUUGGACUGCUAGGGUGGAAUGCAGGAGCCACAGCCAAUGACAGGCUGCAUACCGACUGGUUGAAAGAAAGAAGACAGACUGAGAUUGGUGCGGCAGUGGCUCAUUCGCCCAAACAGACCACCCUCCACUGAAGGCUGAACUGUGAUGAUGUCUCUGGAGGGAUGUGUGGCCAGAACUCAGUUCCAGCACUUCUUAGGUGGGCACCAUUGCCAUUAUAAGAGAACAAGGUUCAUGGUAAUUUGUCUCUGAUAUACUUUUUGGUUCUGGAUUACUGUCAUAAACUGCUGUUUUAUUGAUAAUUGGGCUCGAUUCCAUUCAGCCACGAACUGCAUUCUGCCAUCAAUUGCCCCAGUCAGCAUGGACCUCAUCCUUGAUGGAUGGACAAUCUUCUACAUCAGAGGAGGCCCACCAGAGGUCACUGAACCACAACUCCCAUAAUUCCUCACCAUUGGCUUGGAGGGACCAAAAGAAGCUGACAUCUAACAAACAUCUGGAGAGCCACAAUAUCCUUAUCCUUGGCCCAGAGGUACUGAAAGCUGUGGUGAACCAUAGGAACCCUCCAUCUCAUUUGUUCUGUUUUAUAUUUCUGAUUUUUGUACAGAGAGUUCAUGCAGUGCUCUGAAAAACAUAAAACAGUGGAGGAUUCACAAUGUAUUGGGUCCAUUUUGAAAAGAAGUCCAGAUAAACUAGAAGCAUAAAACCCAGACAGAAAUUAGGAUGAUGUGGAUUAAUUUCAGGAACAUCCCCACUGGAUACCAAAUGUACCUUGUAGCAUUUUGAUAGUCGCUCACUGCUCACAGGGAUGGGUAACCCAGGAUAUGCACUUGCCAGGAAGAGACGCCAUUAAGGACUGUAAUUUGUUGAUCCAGCCUCCGCUGGCAUUUCAGCAGUGAGAGUGGCACUGUUUUCUUUAUGACCUCAUAAAGUCACAGCCGAGAGGCCGAUUUAGAAAACAAACUGCCUCAGGUUGACAGAUAAUUAGAUACAGGGGACAUAUUAUAUGCCUUUGCAUAUAAAUGCUCUCCGAAGCCCGUUGGUUCAUCAGAAGUUUAGGUUAAAGGAGAAGCAGGUAUUCCAGACGCAUCAGGGUGUAUUUUCUGAUGCACUUUAAGACGAUGGCUUAUAGCACCUUCAUCUUAAUGUCGUCUGUGGAACAUUGUCAGCACAACUGCGCUUUGUGAAUGGUCCUGGCUUGUUUUAUUUCUGCUUUGGUAUUUACCCGUCAGCCUUUUUUGCUAGUGAGAGAAGCAGAAGAAAGGAGGGGAGUUAACAUCCCUGGAAAUGGUCAAUGUCUCUCCCCAGCCCCAUGUCUUUUAGCAAGAAGUCCCUAUCACUUCAAUGUCAUGUUUGUACCUUUAAGGGUAUGGACAUUUUAGGGUCCUUUUGGCCUAAGGUGUUCAAGGUACAUGGUGCUUUUCAAUUAGCUAUUCUUUGGUGUGGGACAAUGACAGAGAAUAUGAAAAGGUAGUGUGAGCUUUAAGAAGAAGGUGGGCGAUAAGAAGAUCAGAUCUCCUGACUUUUUUUUUUAAAGAAAGAUUAAAAUCAUUGGUGGGAUGGGGCUUUGAUUUUGGAUGGAAAGCAUUGCUAGGGCUGACAUGUGCAAUGCAAUAUGGAACUUUAUUCAUCUGAAUUUCCCUUCCCAAAGCUAUUAGCCUCCCAGAGGAAAAAUAUGCAGGCAGGCUACAGGUGUCCCCCCCCACUUGUGGAGCUAAAAGAUGGUUUCGUUUAUUAAAUAAAUAUUGUUUAAAAACACUUUUAUGCUCAGAAUCCUGAGAACUGUAGUUUGUUAAGGGUGUUUGGGCCUUAAGGUUCCAAGGAUCCUUUGAAGAAAAUCAUGACAGGUAAUGGUGAUCUAAGGCUGCCUUAAAUGGAGGGUGUAGAUAUAUUCUACUCCCCCAGGUUUCAACUGCUAAAGGAGGGGAGGGGAACCUCCAGCCUGCAGGCCUCCUUAGACCUCCCGGGUUGUCUGCUUGGCCCUUUGGGUCAUUUUAGCCAAACCACACCCACCUGCCCUGCACCUGGUGUUCAUAUGAUGUCAAGAACAGGGCAGGUAAAUAUCGGGUCACCUGAUGUCAUUGUGAUUGUCGCCUGUCAAACGUGGUCCAUGAAGGUGGGUUGGGGAGAUCCGGAGCCAGUUCCCCACCCCUGUGCCAGGAAGCAGGGAGGUGACGAAUCCUGCCGAUUAGUAAAUCUAGCAAUCCCAAGUAGCAAUUUGUGAGCAAAAGGCAAAGCAAAAACUGGGACAAAAGAGGAGCGAUGAUUUAUGGCACAUGGGCAGAUUUGAGAACAUAGAGACAAUGAGAGCAUCUUGCCUCCCAGUCCCUUUCCCACACCAAAGAUGUGACUCAGGCUGGGUCCUCGCAUGAUUCAAUGAGCCUGGGGCCCGAUCUUCCGCCCGGUCCUCCAAGUUGCAGAGAAGGCCCCGGGGUCCUUUGCUCACACCCCUUGAGAUGAGUCCGGGCUUUAAGGGGAGGAGCGGAGAAGAAGCAACGAGAACCAAAAGUGCUGCGCUGUGUGGAUUAUUGUGUGUUUGUCAUCCAGAAUGGUAUAAGCUGUAGGUACAGCAUCUCUUGGCGGUGAUUUAUGGUCCCUGUCAGCCAGCACCAGCGCUUUGUCUGCCGUAGCGUGGAGGAUGAAUGCAGCGCUGUCAGCCCAGGCAGGGCAGUCUUUUUCCUCUCUCUGCUCCGCACACUCGCUCCCAUUUCAUGCCACUGAACAUAAACAAUCUUUUGUAAACCUGACAGUCACACUUACUUCUUUGGGAACAUAAAGCAGAAAUGUAUGACUCGGUUUUCAUUACCCAAUUUCCGCGGCUCUAUAGCAAACGCACUUGGGGAGCCAGCAGCCAAAAGGAGGGGAAAGGAGUGUUCACAGUGAGUAAGGAGGGGGAGGGAGGGAAUAGUCAUUGUCCGCUGCCUUCUUAUGCAUACCUCCAUGCACAAACAAUUGAUCUUCUUCCCUGCAUUGCUUUGUGUAUGUUCGCUGUGCACACGGUGCAUUUAAAAUUAGUGGCUUCAUUGUGCUGGUGUAAUGUUUUUGCCUCCGACGGCUGCUCUUUCCUACUUGUGUUUUCUGUACAGCCCGAUGUGUCAGAAACAUUUUUCUGCCCAAGAAAAAUGGGCAGCCUUUUGGGGAAUGUAGACCAGUAGUGGGUGGGGCCAGAUUCAAAAGUAGGUGGAGCAAUGGUGCUCAUACCUUUGUACAGGAAGCUGCACCCCGCCCAUGCUAAACGUCUGAGGUUUCCAUAUGGACACACCUCCCUCUGUAUCCCACCUAAACAAGCCAAAUGAAUCCUCACAUUUCAAGGACACUUUCCAGCCACACAGAAACAUUUGAGGAUGGCCAGUACGGUGUGACUAGAGGGAAGUGGGGUGUCCAAGAGAGACUCCCAGUGGCCAGGCAGAGGGGCCUGGAGGGCUGCAUUUGAAAGCAUUUGGCUGUUUGAGGAAUUUGCUCCUCAUGAAUUCCAGUAUGAACUGUCACGGUCUGUACCUCCAGACAGAUGAGCUGAUUGGAACUUAUGUAUCAAAUGACUUCUGAAUUUCACAGAUGUUCCAGUGUUGUUUUCAGCUAAAGAGGUCUCAGUGUGCUUUCAGAAAUGUGUGUAUUUUGAGAGAAGUUUAUUUGGGAUACAGAUAUUUAGGAAUAUGUAUUUGAGUGUGUAUGUUUCUGCAAAUUUUCCUUCUUUUUUUUAAAAAACCACAGUUCAGUGCAGAAUUGGGGUGGAAUUGAUUCAAAAGUGUGGAAGUUAUAUGGACAAAAAAAAAAACACCAUACUGAGGCCGCAAUCCAAGCCCCCACUUAUGCCAUUUUAUGGGGGGGGGGCGCACUGGAUUGACCAGCCUCCUGCCAGGUGGUAUUCUGCGCCCAAGUCAUGUAUUUAUUUAAUAUUUAUUUCAACACUAUAAAUACCACUUAAUUGAAAGUGUCUCUCAGUGGUGUACAGUAACUUAUAGAAUCAUCUAGUCCAACCCCUGCAAUGCAGGAAUCACAGCGAACACAAUACUGUAGAAAUCAGAUAGACCUAUCAAAUCAAAAGUUAGUUAAAAUGCAGGGUUUUAAACACACAGAUGAGCCCCUUGAAUUGGGCUUGGAACAGGCAACCAGUGCAGCUGCUUCAGGACAGGCUUGAUGCUUCCACUGGCGGAGGAAGAGGGGUGCAGGGGGAGCGCACCACCCCCCGGCAGCAUGGUCCCGGUGGGGUGCCAUUGUGGCUGCCCCCCGCCCACGCUGGGCACCACAGCUCUGCAGGCGGCGUGUCACACCCCCAGGACACAUGUCACGCCCCUGCGGGCAGCGCGCCACGCUCCCGGGACAUGCACCAGCCCCACCUCGCCUGCUCUCCGCCUCCCAGUGCCAGAGCAUGAAGCUCCGCCACUGCAUGCUUCUCCCAGCCAGACAUCUCACCCAACAUCUGGGGAGUGGCAAUCUGCACUUCUUGUAGUCUACGAACCAUCUUCAAAAGUGGCAUCAAUUGUAUUGCAAUAGUCCAGGCACGUCCAACUCACAAGACAUUGAUCUACUCACAGAUCGACCAGGAUCGACCAGAGGCACCCAGCAAUGACCAGUAGAUCACGACCAACCUGUUGCACAUUUCUGCAGGUUGUCAGAACAUGGGCUACAGUGUCCAAGUCAUUCCUAUUCUGAAAGGGCUGUUGCUGACUUUAUAGCCAGAGUUGGAAAUUUAUUUCUGAAGCUGGAAUUAAGGGAUAACCAUCCAGCAACUAUGGCACAAUGGUUUGCUGCUUACAAAUAAAAGCAGAAAACAAGGAACUGAUCGGAUCAUCCUUCUACCCCUGCCUUUAAUUUAUUGGUAAAUAGUCAAAUAUGAAAGCUCAAGUAUACAAACUUAAGUUCUUCCAGUCUUCCUUUCCUCACGAUUCUUUUCUUCUCCAGCACAUUGAUAUUCUACUGGAAGGUUCUUGAAUGUUGAUUAAGAGUUAAUGAACUGAGAAGGAAAAAUGAAUAAAUAAACAAAUAAAUAAAUGAAAAGAACUCUGAAUAUACAGUGAAAUAUAUUAAUGCAUAGAAGCAAUAUAUAAUAAUGAUACACUAAAAAAAUGUAAACAUAAAAUAAUAUACGGCUGAAAAAUCAAAGUGUUUUAAACUCUGUUUUUAUUGCUGUUUUUUAAAUGAAUAGUUUAUACCAUUUUAUGUAAACUGCUUAGAGAUUUUUAUUAUUAUUUUUAUUAAGUGGUAUAUAAAUCUUAUUAAAGCAAUGAAAUAAAUAAAAAUAUACAAUUACUUGGCAGGGAUAUAAGCAAACGGUUGGAUCAAGGUUUUCUCACUAAGCCUACAGGCAGAGAGGAGGAGAAUGGCCUUUAUGGGGUCAAUGCACAUAUAAUUUACAUUGCCUGGGUACGUCAUAAUCCUAAUGCUCUUUCAGAUGACAAGUGCUUCCAUUCGGUAUUGGCAGUCUAUGUUAGCAGCAGUUAUGCAUUCACGUACAGAGAGUCAGGCCCCCAGCUUCACGAUACAUUUAAAUAGAGCCAGCUCACCCAUGAGGCAAGGUGAGGCAGUUGUCUCAGGGCAGCAAACUCAGGAAAGCCGGGAGGGGUGACAGAUCCAGCCUCCGUGAGCCUGAUAUUUUCCAUCCACGUUCUAACCCAUCACCCUUAACAAACUACAAUUCCCAGGGGAGCCACUUUUGGGUUCGCCUCAAGCAACAAAUUGUCUUGGGCUGACCCUGCAUUUAAAACUGUAUCAUAUCAUUAUAGACAGUCAUGGCUUUCCACCAAGAAUCCUGGGAACUGUAGCUUGUUUUGGGUGCUGUGAAUGGCUAGGAGACCCUUAUUCCUCCCACAGAGCUGCAAUUCUCAGAAUGGUUUAAUUCAAUUUUCCAAUCAUCAGUUUGUGAUUAUUAUUUUUAAGUUCCUGAUGAAAAUUCAUCAACUUCUUAAUGCAUUUUUUCCAAUAUACACCUGAUUCUAUGCAAUUUAGCUUAAUAUGCACCACCCCCUUGUAUGCUAUUUUCACUAAUAUAUGCAUUUUAACGCACACUUUAGGCUAGUAUAUGCAUUUUUUCAUGCCUGUGCAGAGCUUGUCUGAGGCCGGGGUGAGAGUCUUGUUAGAAUAAAGUUAUAAACUCAAACAAAAAUGUAGCCGGCCCGUGGCAGGCCUCCUGGACUGGCUUAGCCCUCCAAGGGUCAGGGCAAAUGUACCCAGCUGCCCCCUCCCUACAUGGCCCUGUGUUCAUGUACACAUUACUUGACUGGAAAAUUGUGUUGCAAACUUCGGAGACAUGUGAAUUUCAAGGAAUGGCUGUGUUUUGGUUCAUGUAUUAUUUCAGAAGAUGUGAAUUAGGCAGAUCUGCCUUGAAAUGUGAAGUGAACUGAAUUUAUCCCCCAUCCCUAGCAGAACGGAAUCGGCUUUUAUCUUUGGCUGCUCUUUCUAUCCUUGGGAAGUUACAGCCUUUGCCGCACCUGCAAGAACAGCAUUAUCCUCGGCCUUCAAUGGUGAGGUCUCCUAUAUACACAUGGACUAAGUAAUGAUUCCUUUCUAUCUUUCAUAUCUGGAUUUAAGAGCACCCUGGAGCUACAAAGUUUAUUAGAGCUCAUAAGAAGAAUUGUACCAUAAAUGGGACAACCACAGCUAUAAACCCACACCUUAGAGUUUGCAACAAAUCUUGAAACACUGAACCAGGACACUCUUGUUGCUGUCAGCAAAAAGAAGAAGAAAAGAUGGCAGGGAGGAAGAAUAGCAAAGCAAUACCCAGUGGGAAUCAAUAACAACAGCUACUGCCACUAAUAAAAAAUAACUGGACUAUUCAGACAUUCCCUGUGAAGAAUAUACAUAAAAUGGGGCUAGCUCAGACAUUGCCCUUCAUGUAAUAUGAGCAUGUUCAUAGUGAUGUUUAAAUUAGGACUGGGGUGAAAGUGAAAGGGCCUGGAGUGCAGAUUGCAAGCAGGGAAAACUUUUGCUGAUCUGACAAGCAAUUAGCAGAGUGUGGGAUGUGGAGCUGCAGAGAGGCAAGCAUCUACAUUAGAUUGCGUCCUCAGGUGUUAUUUGACUCCAAUUCCCAUCAGCCCCAGGCAGCAUGGUCAACUGUCGGGGUGAUGGGAGUUGUAGUCCAACAACAUUUGGGGUCUCAAGGUUGAAGAGUGCUGUGCUGCAUCAAGGAUGGAGAAUCUGAAAUCACCCAUUUGUUGGACUCCAACUUCCAUCAGUCCCACUCUACAUAGUUAAUGGUCAAGGAUGAUGGGAGUUGCAGUCCAAAAACAUCUGGUGGCCCACAUGUUCCCUGCCUCUGACCUACAUCUUUUCAGAUACAGGUAGUAGGAACUGGACCUCUGCGCCAAACUACAAUACAAACUGACUUGAUCCUCCCAGAUGAAUGGAGUUUCCCCCUUCUAAAUAUUCUGACACAAUUCUCAGUUUAAAAGACCUCAAAUCUUAAAGCUGGACCCACAGUUGCAACCAAAAUUCAUGGAUGUUAAAGUUGGGGAGACAAUGUUGUCCUCUAUCUGGACAGAGUCUAUGACAUCAUCAUGUAAUAGGGUUGCUACCUUUGUUGCAAAAUAUAGGGCAGGGCAGGGCGGUUGGUGGACAAUUUCUUUUUUCAUCUGGUGCUGAAGUGACUUCAAAGGAACCCAGUACAAUCUAUUGCAAC